rnacentral:lncRNA from 1 species
UAGUCAGAUUCGUUAACCAUUGAGCCACGAUGGGAACUCUGAGCCAUGAUGGGAACUCCCAGGAUCCAAUUUUUAAACUUUGUGACCCUGUAUAUUGUUAUCUCCAUUUUAGCUCAGGAGGGCCUGGCUAAGCAGCCUGGAGUCGCCACAGCAAGGCCUGCUGCGACUAAGGGCUCUCCGCCUCUGCCUCAGGGAGCAGGUGCAGGCACUCACUUUUUCCAGUGGUCCUCUCGGUCUGAUUUAAUGGAUAUACCAGGACUGAUGACACAUCAGCACGGGAUCUUGCUGCUGCUUCUUGGGUAAUUGUCCUAUUAACAGCUGUCCCAGGCGAAGGGGGGGCGGUGCGGAGGAGUGGGGAGGGAGGGAGGAGGGUGACUUCCUGGGUAAAGGACACACCCUGGAUUUUACAAGGCGGUGUGCACCUGCUCAGACUUGAUCUGGGCUCUAGACAGAGGGGAAGACUGUCUUUUGAUCUCCACUCCCUACACUGAAGACUGUUAAAUAUUCUAGGUGCCGACACCCUGCCGGGCCUCAUGGCUGCUGCUGAGAUUGUCUCUGUAUCUUUAUUCUUCUCAGCCCUUGCAGUGGGUCAGCAGGUUUUUUGUUUGUUCGGGUUUUUGUUUUUUUGUUUUUUUGCUUUUUAGGUAUGCACCCGCAGCAUGUGGAAGUUCCCAGGCUAGGGGUUGAAUUGGAGCUGCAGAUGCUGGCCUACACCGCAGGCCCAAUGACACGAAUACUUAAGCCACUGAGCGAGGCCAGGGAUCAAACCUGCGAACCUAUGGAUAUUAGUCCGUUUUGUUACUACUGAGCCAUGAUGGGAACUCCAGGGCCAGCAAAUCUUUGUCUUUCCCUUUUGCCUUCCCAGCUUUAUAUAACUGCUGAGGAAACUUUUUCUUCCACCCCCAGUCAUUCUUUAACCCAGUAACACAGUUCCUGAGCCACCUUUUUCCCACUUUACAGUCAAACAAUCAUUAUACACAUUCAAACAUAGUACUUGCAGUGGGGAGGCAAACGAAAACAAACAGGCGAGGAUGGGCAAAAACCAAAGAGGUUUCCUCACUCCUUCUCUAAGGAUUAACAUGGAGCCCCUCUUGUUCUCAGUGCCUGCCACUCUCUCCCCACCCAGGAUCCCAGAAAGGAAGGGAAAGGAGGGGAUGAAUAAGAGGUCCAGCGCAGCAAACAUGUGAGCCAUUGAAAAGUUACCAAAAGAAGUUAGGCUUUCAAAGUGAUGUGAGAGCAUCACCUGUUAUCUCCCCAGGGUAGCUCUACCCACAACUGCCAUUUCAGUGAAUAUUUACUUUGAUUUUAUGUUAGUCUUUUUGUGUGUGUGUGUCUUUUUUUCCAUUUUCUUGGGCCGCUCCCGCAGCAUAUGCAGGUUCCCAGGCCAGGGGUUGAAUCGGAGCUGUAGCUGCCAGCCUACGCCAGAGCCAUAGCAAUGCAGGAUCCGAGCGGCAUCGGCGACCUACAGCACAGCUCACGGCAACGCCAGAUCCUUGACCCACUGAGCGAGGCCAGGGAUCGAACCGGCAACCUCAUGGUUCCUAGUCAGAUUCGUUAACCACUGAGCCAUGACAGGAACUCCUUAUGUUAGUCUCAUCUAGUCAACAUAACUUUCUUUCUUUCUUUCUUUCUUUUUUUUUUUUUUUUUGUCUUUUUAGGGCCGCACCCUGGCAUAUGGAAGGUCCCAGGCUAGGUGUCCAAUCGGAGCUGUAGCUGCCGGCCUACACCACAGCCACAGCAAUGCCAGAUUCAAGCCUUGCCUGCAACUUUCACCACAGCUCAGAGCAACGUGGGAUCCUUAACCCACUGAAUGAGGCCAGGGAUGGAACUCAUAUUCUCAUGGAUUCUAAUCAGGUUCGUUACCGCUGAGCCACAAUGGGAACUCCAACAUGCCUUUUUUCUUAUCCCAGGUACCUGAUACCCUGCUAUGCAGCUCAAAAGAAACUUGCAAAAUACAAGGGGGCUGUCUAAAACACUCAAAUUUUGUUGGCACUAGGGUUCCCUGACUCCCUAUAAAGGAUUGCCCAGUUGUUUCACAAUUAAACCUUUCGUGUUAAGGUUUAAAAUUGUUCUCUAUUUGCUGUGUCAAACAGCCACUCUUAGUAUAAAAUUUCCCCUUCCAUCAUCUCAAAAAGAGUUUUGUAAACUUAGUCUACCCUUAAUAUAUUUUAGUGUAUGGUUUUAAACUAUUUCCUUAUUUUUAUUUUUAUUCACGUAUUUAUUUUUGCUUUUUAGGGCCGCACCGGUGGCAUAUGGAGGUUCUCAGGCUAGCGGUCCAAUCAGAGCUACAGCUACUAGCCUAUGCCACAGCCACAGAAACAUCAGGUCUGAGCCUCGUCUGUGACCUACACCACAACUCACGGAAACACUGGAUCCUUAACCCACUGAGCGAGGCCAGGGAUCAAACCUGCAACCUUAUGGUUCCUAGUCGGAUUCAUUUCUGCUGUGCCAUGACUGGAACUACUGUUUCCUUAUUUUUUGAGUUACUGAUCAUACCUUAAUUUCUCUUGCUUUCUUUUUUUUUUUGUCUUUUGUCUUUUGUUGUUGUUGCUAUUUCUUGGGCCGAUCCCACGGCAUAUGGAGGUUCCCAGGCUAGGGGUCCAAUCGGAGCUGUAGCCACCGGCCUAAGCCAGAGCCACAGCAACGCGGGAUCCGAGCCUCGUCUGCAACCUACACCACAGCUCAUGGCAACGCCGGAUCGUUAACCCACUGAGCAAGGGCAGGGACCGAAGCCGCAACCUCAUGGUUCCUAGUCAGAUUCGUUAACCACUGCGCCACGACGGGAACUCCCUCUCUUGCUUUCUUAUACAAGAGCAGUAUUUACCUUCGUGGUCUUACUAAAGGGCUGAAGGGUCACCCCUUUCCUUGAUAACAUGCCACAUCUUCAGCCACACCCUCCAAGUUGAUGGGUGCCUUUAACCACAGGCCUGCCUGUUUUUGUUCCCCUUCGAUUAUUAAGCAAGCAUUUAUUGAGUGUCUAAGUAGCAGGCACUUUUCUAGGUUUUGAAGACUCCACAGUCAGUGCACAAGAUUCUAGUCCUUGUGGCGUUUGUAUUCUAGCAAUUUCUGGGAGAGAAAUAGUAAGACGAAGAAAUAAAAUGUGCUCUCUGAAUCUGACUUUGAAACAGGUAGCCAGCGUUUACGUUUUUUAAAGAUUCAAUGAAUGGAUGCUACUGUGUACUUCCAUAUGGCGAAAGUGCUUUAUAAUCUGGGAACCACCUCGAAUUAAGCCGCCUAACUCUCCAAACACGUGAUGGACUCAAUGUUCUCACCGAAUGACUUACCAGUUAGCCUUGUCCUUGAUUGUACAAGGACCAGUGACUCGCCCACUAGAUUAGUGGGAUCUUCCAAGGAGUCAAGAAUUUGAGUCAAUGCCUCUUUGUCCCACAGCUAGGAACAACUCACUACAUA